rnacentral:rRNA from 1 species
GACGAACGCUGGCGGCGUGCUUAACACAUGCAAGUCGAGCGAGGCCCCUCCUUCGGUAGGGUGUCCUAGCGGCGAACGGGUGAGUAACACGUGGGCAACCUGCCCUCAGCUCUGGGAUAACUCCGUGAAACCGGGGCUAAUACCUGAUACGACCUCCACUGGCAUCUGCGGAGGUGGAAAGUUUUUCGGCUGUGGAUGGGCCCGCGGCCUAUCAGCUAGUUGGUGGGGUAGUGGCCGACCAAGGCGACGACGGGUAGCCGGCCUGAGAGGGGGACCGGCCACAAUGGGACUGAGAGACGGAGCAGACGCCUACGGGAGGCAGCAGUGGGGAAUAUUGCGCAAUGGGCGAAAGCCUGACGCAGAGACGCCGCGUGAGGGACGAAGGCCUUCGGGUUGUAAACAUCUGUCAGCAGGGACGAAGCGAAAGUGACGGUACCUGAAGAAGAAGCACCGGCCAACUACGUG